rnacentral:rRNA from 1 species
CCUACGGGCGGCUGCAGUGGGGAAUAUUGGACAAUGGGCGAAAGCCUGAUCCAGCCAUGCCGCGUGUGUGAAGAAGGCCUUCGGGUUGUAAAGCACUUUCAGUGGGGAAGAAAGCCUUGGGGCUAAUACCCUCGAGGAAGGACAUCACCCACAGAAGAAGCACCGGCUGAACUCCGUGCCAGCAGCCGCGGUAAUACGGAGGGUGCGAGCGUUAAUCGGAAUUACUGGGCGUAAAGCGCGCGUAGGCGGUCUGAUAAGCCGGUUGUGAAAGCCCCGGGCUCAACCUGGGAACGGCAUCCGGAACUGUCAGGCUAGAGUGCAGGAGAGGAAGGUAGAAUUCCCGGUGUAGCGGUGAAAUGCGUAGAGAUCGGGAGGAAUACCAGUGGCGAAGGCGGCCUUCUGGACUGACACUGACGCUGAGGUGCGAAAGCGUGGGUAGCAAACAGGAUUAGAUACCCUAGUAGUC